rnacentral:lncRNA from 1 species
AAAUCUUAACCAUUUAUUUUUUUAAAUAGAUGGUUAAGAUGUAAUAUGAUUCUAGAGAUGACCUACUAUUCAAACAUCUGUACCAUUCAUCAUAUUUUGGCCUUAGAAAAAAUUUUUAGUCUACAAAACCGGUUUUAUCCAACUAAGAAUACUAUAACCUUCUCAAAUACCUAUAGCAAUAGUUGAAAUUCAAAUUACAACUAAACUGUAAAUUUAAAUGCAAAGCAACAUAAAAAACUUAAUUAUAAAUCAAAUUCAACUUUUAAAUAUAAAACACAAAUUUAAAAUAAAACUUUCAGUUCAAAUUCAAAAUUUUAAUUUAAAUCAAAAAUUAAAAUUUGACUUUCAGAUUAAAACUACAAUAUAGAUUCAAAAUUUAAAAUUUUAAUAUAAUUUUUGAAAUUAAAAUUUUACAUUACAAUACGAACUUCAAAAAUUAAAUUUAAAUUUAAUAUUUUUUUGAGUUGGAUAAUUAACAAAUUGGGUAUUAUCUAAUUUGGUAAGUAACAAAAUUAAAUAAAAUAUUUAAUAUUAUAGGAUGCUAACAAAUUUGGCAUAUACUACUAAUUUUUUUUCAAUAAUAUCAUAUUAACUAAUUCAAUUCGAUAACAUGUUUAAUAGGUUACUUUAUGUAAAAUCCAACUAUACCCUUUACUAAUUAAAAGUUUGAUUUUAAUACUUAUGGUGUAUUGAAGUAUUGCUCUAAGGGCAUGUUUGGUUCAUCUAUUUUAGACUAUGGAAUCGGAAUGGAAUUCAUUGAUUCCGAUAGUUGCCGUUUGUUUUAUAGGAAUAAGAUUCCGAUUCUCAUUUCACUCCGGAAUGGGAAUGACCAAAUCCAUUUAUAAUUCAAUCCGACUUUGAAUCCCAGAAUGGCUGAUUCCAAAAUAAACUAUUCAAAAUCCUCUUUCACCAACACCGAUCUUCUCUCUCUUCAUCACUUUUUUCUUUCUUAAUCAAAACUCUCUCUCAAAUAUUUUAAAUUUUCAUUCCAAUUUCGAUUCCAAUAAUGAACCAAAUAUUUUGAAUGAUUCGUCAUUCCAUUUUCCAUUCCAAAACAAUCCAAUUCUAUUUUUCAUUUCUAUUCCAAUCAUGAACCAAACAUGCCCUAAAAGUUAUUGCCGGAUAACUUAAUUACCACUCCAUUCAAAGCAUUUGUCACUUGGAUAAUGUAGAAACUCAUAUAAAAUUUAGUUGGUCUACGACUACCUGAACAAGCAGGGAAAAACAGAAUAAAAUGAGAAUAACACAAAGUUUUUUUUCCAGAUAAUUUUUUUUCCGGGAAUAAUCGAACUAAUAUCAUGAUGUACUAUAUAAUUUGAAUGAUGGAAACAAACUAAUAUAAAAUUCUUGCAUUAAUUCUAGUAAAGUAUAUGAUUCGGCUAGUUUUUAAUUUGCCCCUUGCAUGAAUAGAUUAAUUCAAUUAGAAAAAACAAUGUGCUUUAAUUUCCACUAGAUUUUGGACCCACUAAUUAUAUAUCUUUAACAAGAUCAUGCAUUCAAAUAUUUCUAGAAGAGGUCAAAACAAAAAUUAUAUAAAAAAGAAAAAAGAGUUUCUGGAAAGGUUCGGCAUGUUUUAUUAUAUUUUAUUUGAUUUAAUAUAUUUGGAGAAUUUAUACUUCACUGUGGCUUAAUUAUUUUGUUUGAUAAAGCUUCAACCCACCUAGUUAUUAUUCUAGCUAGUUUAGUAGGGUUUGCCUUUUCGCUUAUGGAUAGGGUCUAUGUACGUGCCCUUUAAAGUUCAAACCAACAGUCGGUUUGAAUUGACCAACUUUGUAAUUGACUAGAAACCACACGUUUCAUAUAUAUAUAUAUAUAUAUUAAAGGAAAGUGGUCAUCAGAGAGUCAAAUCUCCAAAUAUCCCUGAUACCAAAUAAAUAAUCAACAUUACUGAAACUAUAACUAACACAUCAGGCUGGCCAAUUUUCUCCGUAUUCAUUUAGAAGGGUUCAUCACUUCCACUGGUAUGGCCAAUACAUCAAGACUUUCUCAUCGAUUUACUAAACCAUACCUAUGCUCUAACUUCUCGUUAGACAACAUCGAAUUGAACACCAUUUUUCCAUAGAAUCUUUCUGCCCCCUUAUUGAUGAAAAUACAAUAAUGAAUAGUCAUUCGAUAGAUAAUUAGUAUUUUACUAUUUGUAGUUCCUAUUCAAAUAAGCAUAUGAGGAUUGAGAUUGUUAACUAUAUAAGUUGAGUAUUGAAGAGAAUGAUUCUCUUUUUUUGGAAUCCGAGAUAUCACUUCAAUAUCUAUCUAAUAUGAUGAGAUUCUUUUUUUUUUUCAAUUAAAUACAAAUUUCAUCGAAAAGAAAAAUAUUUAUAAUAAAGAAUUCGUUCUCGCAUAACUUGUAUCAUAUAAUCAAAUAAUAAGUUUAUAUUGCAAACAUGGAACGAAAAAGACAAUAUAUCAGCAUAGUAGAUGAUAGAGGAGGCCUCUACCUUAGCUUAAUCUAAGCCUGAAACUACGAGAUAUAAAAUGAUCCACUAAUCCUAUGGAUCCUUAGAUUAAAUUAUGAUGGAUCCAAAAAAUAAAGAAAUAUUGAGUUGUUUCGUCUUCGUUCUAUUAAAUCUUGUAUAUACUUGUAUAUUGUAUAUACUUGUAUAUAUAGUAUAUAGGUCUGUACAUGUGAUAUGAAAGAUAUAUGCAAAUAUAUAUAUGUUAUGUAGUAAGCUCAUUCUUUAUUUAUUCGGCUCAAUCCUUUUUUUAGGAAAAGAUUGGCCGAGUUUAAUUGCAAUCAAUUAGGAGAACAAAGAGAAUUACUAAACUCUACACGCUUAGUUUUAUCUUUCUAUUUCGUUUUAUCUAGCUUAUCUACGGUUCGAAGUCGAAUUUAAUCUGUUUCCAUACUUCACAAGCAGCGGCUAGCUCAGGGCUCCAUUUGCUAGCUUCACGGAUAAUUUCAGCACCUUCACGAGCAAGAUCACGUCCUUCAUUACGAGCUUGUACACACGCUUCUAAAGCCACCCGAUUAGCUACUGCACCAGUGCAUUUCCCAAGGGUCCCUAAAGUUCCUCCACCAAACUGUAGUACGGAAUCAUCUCCAAAGAUUUCGGUAAGAGCAGGCAUAUGCCAAACAUGAAUACCCCCUGAAGCCACAGGUAUAACACCUGGCAUAGAGACCCAAUCUUGAGUGAAAAAGAUACCACGACUACGGUCUUUUUCAAUAAAAUCAUCACGUAAUAAAUCAACAAAACCCAAAGUCAUCUCGCGUUCCCUCCAGUUUACCUACUACUGUACCAGCGUGAAUAUGAUCU